rnacentral:rRNA from 1 species
AACGUAGGAGACAAACGUUAUCCGGAGUUACUGGGCGUAAAGGGCGUGCAGGUGGUCUGUUAAGUUCGGCGUGAAAGCGCCCGGCUAAACCGGGCGAGGUCGUCGGAGACUGGCGGACUAGAGGACGGUAGAGGCGGGUGGAAUUCCGGGUGUAGUGGUGAAAUGCGUAGAGAUCCGGAGGAACACCAGUGGCGAAGGCGACCCGCUGGGCCGUACCUGACACUAAGACGCGACAGCAUGGGGAGCGAACGGG